rnacentral:misc_RNA from 1 species
UGCCACUUCCCUGAGGACUAGCCC